UUAAGUUCAGCGGGUAUCCCUACCUGAUCCGAGGUCAAAGUAAAAAAGGGGGCUUGAUGGGAGGGGACGGGCUGGAGACGACGCGCAAAUGUGCUGCGCACGAAGCCAACUCGCCGGCUGCCAAUGAAUUUGAGGCGAGUCCACGCGCAGAGGCGGGACAAACACCCAACACCAAGCAGAGCUUGAAGGUUUAAAUGACG
rnacentral:misc_RNA from 1 species